rnacentral:rRNA from 1 species
UGGUUUCGGGUUGAUCGGGCUCCGGCCCGAUCCUCCCACCCUUUGUGUACCUACCUCUGUUGCUUUGGCGGGCCGCGGUCCUCCGCGGCCGCCCCCCUCCCCGGGGGGGUGGCCAGCGCCCGCCAGAGGACCAUCAAACUCCAGUCAGUAAACGAUGCAGUCUGAAAAACAUUUAAUAAACUAAAACUUUCAACAACGGAUCUCUUGGUUCUGGCAUCGAUGAAGAACGCAGCGAAAUGCGAUAAGUAAUGUGAAUUGCAGAAUUCAGUGAAUCAUCGAAUCUUUGAACGCACAUUGCGCCCUUUGGUAUUCCGAAGGGCAUGCCUGUUCGAGCGUCAUUACAACCCUCAAGCUCUGCUUGGUAUUGGGCACCGUCCUUUGCGGGCGCGCCUCAAAGACCUCGGCGGUGGCGUCUUGCCUCAAGCGUAGUAGAACAUACAUCUCGCUUCGGAGCGCAGGGCGUCGCCCGCCGGACGAACCUUCUGAACUUUUCUCAAGGUUGACCUCGGAUCAGGUAGGGAUACCCGCUGAACUUAAGCAUAUCAAUAAGCGGAGGAAA